CAGUAGCGCGGUGGUCCCACCUGACCCCAUGCCGAACUCAGAAGUGAAACGCCGUAGCGCCGAUGGUAGUGUGGGGUCUCCCCAUGCGAGAGUAGGGAACUGC
rnacentral:rRNA from 2 species